rnacentral:rRNA from 1 species
AGUGAACGCUGGCGGUAGGCCUAACACAUGCAAGUCGAACGGCAGCACAGUAAGAGCUUGCUCUUACGGGUGGCGAGUGGCGGACGGGUGAGGAAUACAUCGGAAUCUACUUUUUCGUGGGGGAUAACGUAGGGAAACUUACGCUAAUACCGCAUACGACCUACGGGUGAAAGCAGGGGAUCUUCGGACCUUGCGCGAUUGAAUGAGCCGAUGUCGGAUUAGCUAGUUGGCGGGGUAAAGGCCCACCAAGGCGACGAUCCGUAGCUGGUCUGAGAGGAUGACGGGGUCAGGUGGAUGGGGGCAAUGGGCGAUGCUACGCGGAGCGGCAGAAAAGGGGAAGGUGGAAUAGUGGGCACAGGACUGAGCGAGGCAGACCGGGUGGGGGAAGAAGGUCGUUGGGAUGUAAAGUCCUGUUGAUGGGAAAGAAAGGCAGCAGCAUAAUGCCCCGCGGUUCUGACAUACCACAAAGAAUAAGCGCCGGCUGAAGUCGGGCCAGCAGCCGCGGUAAUAGAGGACAGAAAACGUUAGAAC